rnacentral:lncRNA from 1 species
CUCCUGCCUCAGCCUCCCGAGUAGCUGGGACUACAGGCGCCCGCCACUGCGCCCGGCUAAUUUUUUUUUUUUUUUGUAUUUUUAGUAGAGACGGGGUUUCACCGUGUUAGCCAGGAUGGUCUUGAACUCCGGACCUUGUGAUCCGCCCGCAUCGGCCUCCCAAAGUGCUGGGAUUACAGGCGUGAGCCACUGCGCCCGGCCCCUCUUUCUUUUUUUUUUUCAACAGGGGAACUUCUUUGGCAGCACUACUCCAAUUAUUCCCAGCAGCCUCUUGGGUAGGGUGGAGGGGCUGGCUGUGUGAAUGGUGUCUUCUGGAGGAGCUGUGCUUUUUUUUAUAUAGCUAAAUAGAACUCAUCUUUCAAGAUUCAGCUGAGGUCUCCCAUCUUCAGGAAGCCUGCUCUGGCCCUUCUGUGUGGUCCAUAAGGCAGGGCUCCCC